rnacentral:rRNA from 1 species
UACGAAGGGGGCUAGCGUUGUUCGGAAUCACUGGGCGUAAAGGGCGUGUAGGCGGUCAGGUAAGUGGGAUGUGAAAUGCCCCGGCUCACCCGGGGACCGGCAUCCCAUACUGCUUGGCUUGAGUACGGGAGAGGAUGUGGGAAUUCCUGGUGUAGCGGUGAAAUGCGUAGAUAUCAGGAGGAGCACCGGUGGCGAAGGCGCACAUCUGGCCCGAUACUGACGCUGAGGCGCGAAAGCUAGGGGAGCAAACGGG